AUCGUUCAUCCACAAUAGGCCUGUCCAAAAAGCUCGUGGCUUGGAGCUCGUUUGAAGCUCGCUCGGAUUUAGCUCGAAAAAAUCUCACUCGAUAUGGCUUAGUUUGAAAGUGAGCCGAGCCGGCUCGGCUCGGUUAGAAAGUGAGCCUAGCUCGGCUCGACUCGUGACGAGCCAAAUUGACUCGCUUGGUAGCUCGGCUCGGCUUAGCUCGAAUUAUUUUACUUAUAAUGUAUUUUAAUUUUAUAAAUAUAUAAUAUAUGACAAAAAAAGGUGAUUAUUAUUGACAAAUAUUAUAUUUACUUGAAAUAUAAAACUUAUUUUGCGUUGUUAAACGUGAUUUUUGCUUGUAAUUAAUUAGGUUGAACUUAUUUUGAAUAUGUUCUUUUAAAGUAUUGAAUAAUAUUUUAGAAUACUGAAUUUUGAGAACUAUAUAAUAAUUUUUAUUUUUAAAAUCGAGCCAAACCAAGCUGCGCUGAGCCAACUCGGUUUAAAACCAAGCCGAGCCCGAGCUUAGAUUUUUAGCUCGGUUUCAAAUCCGAGCUGAGCUGAGCCAGCUCAGUUUACAAUCAAGCCGAGCCCGAGCUUGACCUAGCUCGGCUUGGCUCGGCUCGGCUCAUGAACAACCCUAAUCCACAAUUAACACAUUCCAAGUUUAGAAAUUAUUUAACCAUUAGUACUGAAUUAUUCAUAACAAAUUUACGUUAUUUUAUACCCCGGUUUUCUUCUACGUUCAUAAAUGGCUAUUAUAUCGGGUUUAUUUAGUUGUUUUCCGGGCUUAAACAAAGUGGUAGACAAUGGAAAUGAAAAAAAUGGCGCACCUAGCAAAGUUCAAAACAAUGACGGCAACCAAGAAUCAACAUGCAAAGGAAGAAAAGGUAACCCCCCAAAGUUAAUUGCCUCUUCCGCUCAACCCCAAAAUCCUUGAGAUUUUAUACCAAGUCGAAGAACUCUGCUUCAUUGUCUGAAUUCCAAUGUUGCUACACGGUUUUCAAUCUGCUCGGUUUGUCAGCAAAGACGGGCGGAUAGAUGUUUGGCUCAUUCAAUCUGUAGCAACAGCCCUCUUACCAAACCGAAUCCAAAUCAAAGGUGGAAAUUAGUUGGUUUCAUUCCAAUCGUUGCUCCAAGUCUUGAAACCGGAAUCGUAAUUGCCCUUCGCCCAAAAUCGUAGGCCCCGGGUCAUGAAACCAAACCCCAAAUUGUUAAAAAAUCACAUGUUCCAGGUAUUGAUUCAAAAUAUUGAAAUUGCACGUUGCUUGUAUGUUGUUCAUAAUAUAAAUUACAGGUCUCGAGGUAUUGUUUCCUCGUUGCAGGAUCAUUAAAAUGUAAUGCAUUUGUCUUUUAAAGUAAAAUUGCUAUUAUUAUUAUUUUUUUUUUGUGUUUGUUGGAUUCCUUAAGAACCUGUAGUACUCUGUACUUUUGAUAUUGUUAAUCUUGGUCGAAGUGGGAUGUGCUGCUUUCAUCUUCUUCGAUAAAACGUGGAGAUCAUUAGGUUUUCUCUGAGUUACACCUUCAUUUUCGACAUGUUUCGAAUGCAUCGGCUAAUCAAACGUAAACAUUUUUUCAGGAUAUCCCUAUAGACAAAACCAGAGAAUUCGAGACAAUAUAUCAUUUCCUAAGGAAGAACUGGAAUAUCUGUAAAUGGGUUGCACUUGGAGUUGUUAUAUUACAGGCUCUGAUAUUUUUGUUAGCUUUAAUGGUACGUGCUGCAAACGCACCAAUGGAAUAUGAUAGUGAUGACAAGUACAUUAAUGGUCCCAGACAGCAAAGACAACCUUUGAUCAUACGACAACAAGUUCCAGCAACGGGUAUUCCUGUUACUACAGGACCCCUUGAUAGCCGUCCAAGCAGAAAUGAUGCUUGGAGUGCACGUAUGAAGACGCCGAGAUUGCUUACUGGGUGAAGACGCCCGGACUCCAGUAGCGUAACGAUUGAGAUCUUGUUGUUAAAGUUGACGAAAUAAGAUUCGACAUUCUCUGUAGAUUGUCAAAUUCUACCUUCUCUUAAAUUGUCCAAGUUUAAUGUUGAUGUUCUUUUCCUCUUCUAAAGAAGAGGGGACAAGUGUUGCAUUUCAAGUACUAGAUAUAUGGUUUAGCGGAUUGUCUAGCUUGUCAUGGAAAUGGCGCACCCACAAACUUGAGGUGGGAGUUCAUACUGAUGGGCAUGGUAUAUCAACUGAUUUGGCGACAAAGAAGAAUAUAUCAGUUUCAAGAAAGUUGGCAGGCAUUUGGGAACCAGUACCUAGAAGCAACCUUGUUUCCAAGUUAUUUGUGGCUUGUGAAGCAGAUUUACAGAUUCUAUUUGCAUUCAGUCUGCUGAAGCUGCAAAAGUAUCUCAUCUCUACAUAACAUUAACAAAGAUUAGUUAUGAUACAGGAAAAUUGGGCGAUCUGUUAGAAGCAUUGCUUGAUCUCUGUUGUCUUCAAAAUGUGAGUUUGUAAAUUUUUAUGCACCCGGUAAAACAGUUUUGGGCUUUAUGUUUUCUAGAUUGAAAAGUUGAAUUUAGUUAUCAAGGAGCUCGUUAAGGAAAAAGAUGAAAAAAAGAAAGGUUCAAUGGAAUUAUUGCGGGGUUGUUGGCUGAAAAAGAGAAAGAUAAGGUGGAUAAAGAUGCAAUGCUUGAUAGGAUGUCACAAAUUGAAGCUAUGUUAACAACUACAGUUCGAAGAUAGGGCUAUAAAUACUUGGUUUUGAAUGUUUAGAUGUUUAUCUUAUUAGGAUAAUUUUAGUUAUUUUAUGUUUUAGUUGGUAUUUUUUAUAUGCUUUUAAAAACGAGAUGUUUUAUAUAAUUUUGGGAUUUUAUUAGCCUUUUUUAUAUUA